UGUGACAGUAUUUGUCUUUUCCAUGGUGUA
rnacentral:piRNA from 1 species